UACGGAGGGUGCAAGCGUUAUCCGGAUUCACUGGGUUUAAAGGGAGCGCAGGCGGACUUGUAAGUCAGUGGUGAAAUACCUGAGCUUAACUCGGGAACUGCCAUUGAUACUAUAGGUCUUGAAUGUUGUUGAGGUUUGCGGAAUGGGUCAUGUAGCGGUGAAAUGCAUAGAUAUGACCCGGAACACCUAUUGCGAAGGCAGCAGGCUAAACAAAUAUUGACGCUGAGGCUCGAAAGCGCGGGGAUCAAACAGG
rnacentral:rRNA from 1 species